rnacentral:lncRNA from 1 species
AGUGAACCUCUUGGUGCCCCAGCUUCCUAAUCUAAAAAAUUGAGUCAUAAUACUGUUAGUAUCUACCUCAAUAGGACAUAAUGGAUAGAGAGCCAGUCUGGGAGUCAGGAAGGAAAGGGUUCAAGUCCUACCUUUAAGAGACUGGAUAUUGCGUUAGAGGGGUAAGAGACAGUGAAAAGUGAAUGAUGUGAACCUGGGUGACUGGGAGGUUGAUGAUAUCAUUGUCAGUAAUUGGAAAAUUUAGAAAAAGGAUUGAGAAAAAGAUGAGUUCACUUUUAGCAUGUUGAAUUUAAGAUGAUUGUAGGAUAUCUAGUUUGAGAUAUUCACUAAGCAUCUAGAAAAUGAAGGCAAAAGAUUAGAACUGAACAAAUCUCUGAGAAUCAUCUAUGUAAAGAUAGAAAUAGAAUCCAUGGAAUUGCCCAGCAAAAUAGUAAAGAUGAAGAAGCCAUGAGGGCUAAGGAAAGAACUUUGGGGGACAUCCGUAGUUUUCAGAUAUGACCUGGAUGACCAACAAUGAAAACUGAGGAAUAAUCAGAUCCCCUGGCCCAGUGGUGGUUAACCUUUUAAAGACAUAGUGCCCAAACUGCAUCCUUCACAUGACAUGUGAGCUCCCCACCUUACCCCAGACAAGGAUGGGAAGAAGUGCCCCCAUUGGGCUGCUGUGCAGAGGGGAGGGUGAUGAAAGAAAUAUCCUCAGUACUUUGAUUUAAUGAAAGAACAUGGUCUGAAGAGAUGGAGUCCCAUAGUAUUGACCUUCUUCUGUUUCAUUAUGGUCCCCGUAAUUCUGGCAAACAGAACUGAGGAAAGGACUUCUUGAUCAAAGAACCCUAGUGGCAAGUUCACAGAGGUAUGUUGUAAGUGGAUUUCACUAUAACUAGACAAUUCAUCAUUUGAAAGAGCCUGCACAGAUUCAAAGGAGAAGCCAAGAAAUAGAAUCCAGACAGAAUGCAUACAUUCAUAGAUAGAACUAAUGAAUAUACAACUGUCCUUUCAUGGUUGAAAAUCCAAUCAAUAGUUGGAAUAUAGUUGUAUUUUCUAUAUUUCUUCCAUCAAGUAAGAUGAUUUGGAAAAGAAAGGAAAAAAUAAAACUUCAAAAACCUUGACUUUAAUAAUUGUG